rnacentral:lncRNA from 1 species
GCACACAGUAAAAGAGAUAAGAAGAAAUCUUUAUUGCUCCCCGUUACAGCCAGGGAUUAAGCUGAGAUGGAAUGUAAUGGAACCUGCUCCAUCCUGUCACCUUAAAGAGGGGGAGAAGAGAGGAAUACACAGUGGUGCUUGUCAGGAAGAAAGGCCAUCGUCUUUUUUUGGGAAUCCUAGAGCAGUCUUCAUGGUUCAACAAUGACAGCGCUGACACUAGGAGAGCUCAUUUCAAAUGAUCCUGAAGGAGAGAGAGAGAGAGAGAGAAGGAGAGAGAGCUAAAGAAAUGAGGAAGGAGGAGGCGGAGGGAAAGCAGAUCAGAAUAUAUGCAGAGCCAUCGUGCAGGUGGAUGCUGAGCCGAGGAGCCAAGACUGGGGCAGGACCAAUGCAAGACAUUUCAGUUGCCUUCAAUCGUAGCAGGGAUCCACUGGCCUUCUUGACAGAUUGAUAAAGUCAGCAGAAAUUAUUACCUCAACUGUGUUGCUCCAUUGUUUCAUACUAUAUAUAGAUAUCUCCAAGAAUAAAAAAUAAAGAUAAGACA